AUACCUACCUGGCGUCGGGAUACCGUGAUCAUGCAGGCGGUGCCCCCGGGGUGCGGCUGCUCAAUUGCACUGCAGAGUGGUUGACCCUUGCGAUUAAUUUUAUAUUUUAUAAGUUUCACUUUUACCGUGUGUGACUUGCACACACACACA
rnacentral:snRNA from 9 species